rnacentral:rRNA from 1 species
CUUUUGCUGGCGACCGGCGCACGGGUGAGUAACACGUAUCCAACCUGCCGAUAACUCGGGGAUAGCCUUUCGAAAGAAAGAUUAAUACCCGAUGGCAUAAUUAGACCGCAUGGUCUUAUUAUUAAAGAAUUUCGGUUAUCGAUGGGGAUGCGUUCCAUUAGGCAGUUGGUGAGGUAACGGCUCACCAAACCUUCGAUGGAUAGGGGUUCUGAGAGGAAGGUCCCCCACAUUGGAACUGAGACACGGUCCAA